GAACGCUGGCGGCAUGCCUUACACAUGCAAGUCGAACGGCAGCACGGGGGCAACCCUGGUGGCGAGUGGCGAACGGGUGAGUAACGCAUCGGAAUGUACCCAGUAGUGGGGGAUAACUAGUCGAAAGAUUAGCUAAUACCGCAUACGCACUACGGUGGAAAGCGGGGGAUCGCAAGACCUCGCGCUAUUGGAGCAGCCGAUGUCCGAUUAGGUAGUUGGUGGGGUAAAGGCCUACCAAGCCUGCGAUCGGUAACUGGUCUGAGAGGACGACCAGUCACACUGGGACUGAGACACGGCCCAGACUCCUACGGGAGGCAGCAGUGGGGAAUUUUGGACAAUGGGGGCAACCCUGAUCCAGCAAUGCCGCGUGUGUGACGAAGGCCUUCGGGUUGUAAAGCACUUUUGGCGGGAACGAAACGGCGCUUGCUAAUACCAGGCGCCACUGACGGUACCCGCAGAAUAAGCACCGGCUAACUACGUGCCAGCAGCCGCGGUAAUACGUAGGGUGCGAGCGUUAAUCGGAAUUACUGGGCGUAAAGCGUGCGCAGGCGGUUUCGUAAGACAGAUGUGAAAGCCCCGGGCUCAACCUGGGAAGUGCAUUUGUGACUGCGAGACUAGAGUGUGUCAGAGGGAGGUGGAAUUCCACGUGUAGCAGUGAAAUGCGUAGAGAUGUGGAGGAACACCGAUGGCGAAGGCAGCCUCCUGGGAUAACACUGACGCUCAUGCACGAAAGCGUGGGGAGCAAACAGGAUUAGAUACC
rnacentral:rRNA from 1 species